CCACCUGACCCCAUGCCGAACUCAGAAGUGAAACGCCGUAGCGCCGAUGGUAGUGUGGGGCUUCCCCAUGUGAGAGUAGGGAACUGCUAGGC
rnacentral:rRNA from 1 species